AACUUUCGACAACGGAUCUCUUGGCUUUUGCAUCGAUGAAGAACGCCGCGAAAGUGCGAAACGUAAUGUGAAUUGCAGAAUUCAGUGAAUCAUCGAAUCUUUGAACGCAUCUUGCGCCCCUUGGUAUUCCGAGGAGCAUGCCUGUUUGAGUGUCG
rnacentral:rRNA from 1 species